rnacentral:rRNA from 1 species
GAUGAACGCUGGCGGCGUGCCUAAUACAUGCAAGUCGAGCGAACAGACGAGGAGCUUGCUCCUCUGACGUUAGCGGCGGACGGGUGAGUAACACGUGGAUAACCUACCUAUAAGACUGGGAUAACUUCGGGAAACCGGAGCUAAUACCGGAUAAUAUAUUGAACCGCAUGGUUCAAUAGUGAAAGACGGUUUUGCUGUCACUUAUAGAUGGAUCCGCGCCGCAUUAGCUAGUUGGUAAGGUAACGGCUUACCAAGGCAACGAUGCGUAGCCGACCUGAGAGGGUGAUCGGCCACACUGGAACUGAGACACGGGCCAGACUCCUACGGGAGGCAGCAGUAGGGAAUCUUCCGCAAUUGGCGAAAGCCUGACGGAGCCACGCCGCGUGAGUGAUGAAGGUCUUCGGAUCGUAAAACUCUUUUAUUAGGGAAGAACAAAUGUGUAAGUAACCAUGCACGUCUUGACGGUACCUAAUCAGAAAGCCACGGCUAACUACGUG